CAAAGCUAACUGCUUUCAUUAGAAUUCACUGGCAGGAGUAAAAUUUAGAAGCGCCCAGAUAUUGUAUGAUAAAUAUAGUUGUUUGGAUAACAGUUUGUAAUGAGGUGUAUUAUCUAGAGGUCUACUCACUAAAAAGUGAUUUAUGACAGUCUGUCAACUGACUUGUUGAAUUUUUCCUAAAGUAUUUAAGAUGGAGAGAUUUAAAAAAAAAAAGAGAUUGCGUUGGAGUGUUUUUUUAUCUGCUGUGUGGUCAAUAGUUUGCAAGUAAUUAGCCAACUUAUCAGUUAGUGAAUGGGACCUCAAGUGCUGUCUCUCAGAUUUUAUCUGUGAAGUUCAUCACAGAUAACAGAUUCAUUUUUUAUAAUUGACUUAAUUGAUAAUUGAUAAUUGACACAUCCAAUACAUUUCCAUUUACUCACUACACAUAUGAGCCAGGGCUCUAAAUGGCCACUACAGCAUGUAGGAAUACACAUCUGUUAAAUACAGAUUGUAAACAUUGUUUACAUUGUUAUUACACAAUUGUGCAUGUCACCGUGUAUCAGAAUAUAUUUUAAACCAAAUUUGCAUGGUAACUUUAAAACACCAUUUGACGUUUUACCCUUGGCACUGUGAUGCAAAGGGAUAGCGAACAUUGAGUCUGGCAUAUCAGACAAGUACUCAUGGGCCUGAUAGUGGGUGUACCCUGAAAUAUUUUAAAAUUGUGCAGAAUUGUCGGGGGGAGGGCAAAUGAAUGAAGCACGAUAAUGUACCUUGGAUAGUCGAGCCACAUGAAGCGAGUGACUGAGAGCUGUUUUAGCCCUAUGGAUGUUCCCACAAAUUUAGCCUUCUUGUCAUAUAGCUAUAAUUCUAUUUUACUACUUUUAUUUUGCUGAAAUCUAAUAGUACCAAUGUUAGUUUGUUCAUUUUCACUUGAGAAUUAUGGACAUUAGCAAGCUCUAAAGAAACAGGAUACAAAAAACAUCACUCCCUCUCAUCUAGACAGACUUGAAAGCAGACUUUGAAUACUUAUAAGCCAUAAAUCAAUGUAGCUGUUUUCACCUUUGGUUUUCCUAACAGGAAUGUGCAGUACCCUGUAAGCCCCACUGCAUCCUGCAUUGCUCUACUUACAGUGCCUUGCAAAAUUAUUUAACCCCCUUGGCAUUGUUCGUGUUUUGUUGCCUCACAACCUGGAAUUAACAUGCAUUGUUUGAGGAUUUGUAUCAUUUCAUUUACAGAACAUGCCCACAAAUUUGAAGAUUUUCUUUUUUUUUUAUUGUGAAGCAAACAGCAAAUAGCACAAAAUAGCAGAAAAAGUAAAUGUGCAUAACUAUUCAC